rnacentral:rRNA from 1 species
UACGUAGGGGGCUAGCGUUAUCCGGAAUUACUGGGCGUAAAGGGUGCGUAGGUGGUUUCUUAAGUCAGAGGUGAAAGGCUACGGCUCAACCGUAGUAAGCCUUUGAAACUGGGAAACUUGAGUGCAGGAGAGGAGAGUGGAAUUCCUAGUGUUGCGGUGAAAUGCGUAGAUAUUAGGAGGAACACCAGUUGCGAAGGCGGCUCUCUGGACUGUAACUGACACUGAGGCACGAAAGCGUGGGGAGCAAACAGG